rnacentral:rRNA from 2 species
GCAGUCGAGCGGACCGACGGGAGCUUGCUCCCUUAGGUCAGCGGCGGACGGGUGAGUAACACGUGGGUAACCUGCCUGUAAGACUGGGAUAACUCCGGGAAACCGGGGCUAAUACCGGAUGCUUGAUUGAACCGCAUGGUUCAAUCAUGAAAGGCGGCUUCGGCUGCCGUUUACAGAUGGACCCGCGGCGCAUUAGCUAGUUGGUGAGGUAACGGCUCACCAAGGCGACGAUGCGUAGCCGACCUGAGAGGGUGAUCGGCCACACUGGGACUGAGACACGGCCCAGACUCCUACGGGAGGCAGCAGUAGGGAAUCUUCCGCAAUGGACGAAAGUCUGACGGAGCAACGCCGCGUGAGUGAUGAAGGUUUUCGGAUCGUAAAGCUCUGUUGUUAGGGAAGAACAAGUACCGUUCGAAUAGGGCGGUACCUUGACGGUACCUAACCAGAAAGCCACGGCUAACUACGUGCCAGCAGCCGCGGUAAUACGUAGGUGGCAAGCGUUGUCCGGAAUUAUUGGGCGUAAAGCGCGCGCAGGCGGUUUCUUAAGUCUGAUGUGAAAGCCCCCGGCUCAACCGGGGAGGGUCAUUGGAAA